rnacentral:lncRNA from 1 species
GGCCAUUGGGAAGCAUUUAUGGACAGAAGACUGUUCUCUUGGGAUGGACUUCACCUGAGCAAGGAGGGAAAUAGACUUCUAGGAUGGAGGCUCGCCGAACUGAUUAAGAGAGCUUUAAACUAGGAAUUUGGGGGAGAUGGUUGGGAGAUGUCCAGGUAAUCUCCACGCCGGAAUUUAACCUUGAGAGGGAAGAAAACAAAGUAAGAGGGGAUACAGCCGUGGACAGAAGAAUUGACAUAAGGAGAAAGGGUAGUGUAGAUACCACACUAACAGGUGAUGCUGGUGGUAGAAUGUCUGUGCCUAACAGGGUAAAGAAUGUCAGUGAAGCCAAACGGCAAAAAUUAAGAUGUCUGUACACAAAAUGGAGGAACUAGAGCUACUGGUGCAGGAAGUGAAACCGGAUAUUAUAGGGAUAACAGAAACAUGGUGGAAUAGUAGUCAUGACUGGAGUACAGGUAUUGAAGGCUAUGUGCUGUUUAGGAAAGACAGAAAUAAAGGCAAAGGUGGUGGAGUAGCAUUGUACAUCAAUGAGGAGGUUAACUGUAAAGAAAUAAGAAGUGAUGGAAUGGACAAGACAGAGUCUGUCUGGGCAAAAAUCACACUGGGAAAGAAAGCUACUAGAGCCUCCCCUGAGAUAGUGCUUGGGGUGUGCUACAGACCGCCGGGAUCUGAUUUGGAUAUGGAUAGAGACCUCUUUAAUGUUUUUAAUGAAGUAAACACUAAUGGGAAAUGUGUGAUCAUGGGAGACUUUAACUUCCCAGAUAUAGACUGGAGGACAAGUGCUAGCAAGAAUAAUAGGGCUCAGAUUUUUCUGGAUGUGAUAGCAGAUGGAUUUCUUCACCAAGUAGUUGAAGAACCAACAAGAGGGGAUGCCAUUUUAGAUUUGGUUUUGGUGAGUAGUGAGGACCUCAUAGAAGAAAUGGUUGUAGGGGACAACCUUGGUUCGAGUGAUCAUGAGCUAAUUCAGUUCAAACUAGAUGGAAGGAUAAACAAAAAUAGAUCUGGGACUAGGGUUUUUGACUUCUCAAGGGCUAACUUUAAAGAAUUAAGGAAAUUAGUUAGGGAAGUGGAUUGGACUGAAGAACUUGUGGAUCUAAA